rnacentral:lncRNA from 1 species
GAAUAUUGAACGAAAAUGAUAUUCCUUAUGAAUAUUGAACGAAAAUAAUAUUCCUUACGAAUACGAAAAAUAAUAUCUCUUACGAAUAUGAAAUAAAUAAUACCCCUUACCUUAAAAGGAGAGUAAUUAUGACUGGUAUAUCGGGGAUAUUCUUGAAUAAAACUUGCACUAUUUGUUACACUCAAAGUUUCCUUAAACUCAAAAGAAAUACGCCCAAUAUUAUAGAAGAAUAAUUCUCUGAUUCUGGCGUGAUUUUCAUUUCUAAACUAAGCAUCAUAUUUAUAGGAGAAUGGCAGGAUACUAUUUAGAAAAAUAAUCACAGACGCACAGUAACAAAAUCACGGGCGAAAUUCUUUGGCGAAAAAACUAAUUUUUCUUAUUUCACUAUGCAGUACUAUUCACUAUUCAGUACUAUGCAAAUACUAUGCAAUAUAAAAUAAAAAUUGAAAUAACUUUCUACGGACGAUUUUGAAAAAUGAGUAAGUGGGGGUCUAUGUAAUAAGCCAAAUUUAUAGUAAAUACUUCAUGACAAACCCCUUUAUUUAUCACAAAUCACUUGACUAAACACAUUUGUAAUCUUUCAACAAUUAUUCAUCAUUAAUAUUAUAACUCACAAUAUUAACAACCAGAUCAUUCCCAGAAAAGAAGGGGCUUUCUGAUAAGGACUUCUCCUUAUUAGCGUACAAUUAAA